AACGAACGCUGGCGGCAUGCCUAACACAUGCAAGUCGAGCGCCGUAGCAAUACGGAGCGGCGCACGGGUGAGUAACGCGUGGGAACCUGCCCAGAGGUUCGGGACAACCGCGGGAAACUGCGGCUGAUACCGGAUGAUACCUGAGGGUCAAAGAUUUAUCGCCUUUGGAGGGGCCCGCGUCAGAUUAGGUAGUUGGUGAGGUAACGGCUCACCAAGCCUGUGAUCUGUAGCUGGUCUGAGAGGAUGACCAGCCACACUGGGACUGAGACACGGCCCAGACUCCUACGGGAGGCAGCAGUGGGGAGUAUUGGACAAUGGGGGCAACCCUGAUCCAGCAAUGCCGCGUGGGUGAUGAAGGCCUUCGGGUUGUAAAGCCCUUUCGGCGGGGACGAUGAUGACGGUACCCGCAGAAGAAGCCCCGGCUAACUUCGUGCCAGCCGCCGCAGUAACAC
rnacentral:rRNA from 1 species